rnacentral:rRNA from 1 species
GAUGAACGCUGGCGGCGUGCCUAAUACAUGCAAGUCGAGCGAACGGACGAGAAGCUUGCUUCUCUGAUGUUAGCGGCGGACGGGUGAGUAACACGUGGAUAACCUACCUAUAAGACUGGGAUAACUUCGGGAAACCGGAGCUAAUACCGGAUAAUAUUCUGAACCGCAUGGUUCAAAAGUGAAAGACGGUCUUGCUGUCACUUAUAGAUGGAUCCGCGCUGCAUUAGCUAGUUGGUAAGGUAACGGCUUACCAAGGCAACGAUGCAUAGCCGACCUGAGAGGGUGAUCGGCCACACUGGAACUGAGACACGGUCCAGAUUCCUACGGGAGGCAGCAGUAGGGAAUCUUCCGCAAUGGGCGAAAGCCUGACGGAGCAACGCCGCGUGAGUGAUGAAGGUCUUCGGAUCGUAAAACUCUGUUAUUAGGGAAGAACAUAUGUGUAAGUAACUGUGCACAUCUUGACGGUACCUAAUCAGAAAGCCACGGCUAACUACGUG